GCCUAAAGUGUCAAAGGCUUUGCUUUCAGAUUUACCCCAAGUCUAGAACUAAACAGAAGAGUUUAACUAAUGGCAAAACAGGCUUCAGAGCAGAGCUUUUCACCCCCCUGCUGGGACAAGAACUGCAAUGGAAAUAUCACAGUUACAUUUUAAUAUCUUUAGAAAGUCUUUUCUAGCUACAGGCAGCCUCCAAGUCUCCUUGCCUACCUUACUCCAACUGCUGGGCAAGUUGUUUCCAACCCGGAAGCCCAAAUGCCUGGUGAUGAUGAGUCCAAUCUUGGCCACUUUGUUAUGUUUUUCCACGGGCUGUGAGUGGAUCCCUGUGAAAUCCCCUAUGGAUUUCAUGCAUUCUAAGGGUUUGUUUCACCAUGGGCCUCCCCAGGGCUCGCAGAGGAAUCUUGGAGCACCUCCUGCCCUCUCCUUCCCACCGGCCUUGGUGCUGCCAUGUUGUUUUCCCUCACACGCCCUCACUCCCUCCUCUCCUGAUCAGAAGAGAAACUGCUGCUCGUGGGUGCCAUUGCCAACAAAUCCCACUAAUUCAAAGACUCUUGCAGGAUCUGGCAGCACUGAGAAGUUGAUCUCACUUAGGUUCCACACAGGGGAAUCAUGCUUCCACAUCAUGCUUCUGCUGCAGGCCGGGCGGCCCUGCCACCAUCGCAUGAGCGGCGGUGGCCGUGGUGGUGCUGGAAUUAUUUAAUGCCUCUUGUCCUUGCAGUGUGCUGGGAAGGAGAAGCUGGAAUUAUUGAAUGCCUCUUUUCCAUGCAGUGUGCUGGGAAGGGGAAGCUGCCACUGCUGCCCUGCAGUGUGGCUGGCCGAGGGUGGCCACACAGGCACGGCUCGUGCAGGCCGCGCCGGGAUGGUGGCAGCCGUGGCACAUUGGCACGGGGCACGGUGGAAGGCAGCGGCGGAAAAGAACUGCACACACGUUGUUUUGAUUUUCUUCUGAAAUGUGUCAUCACAGAGGCUUUACCAGCCUCUCUAACUGGGCCAGCAGCGUGUCCAUCCUCAGAGCCAUCAGCUCUGUCAGACGUGGCGGAAGCUUCCGGCAGCUUCUCACACAAGCUACCCCUGUGGCCCCACAAACCAGGCUGUGCCAAACCAACACAAAACCUGGGAGUUUUGCAUCACAGCAGAAUUGUGAAUCAUAGAAGGACAUGUGCUUUGUCAAGUCUCGUUUUAUACCUUGCACCCAUGGAUUUGAAAGAUUCCUGAUGGAGAGGCCCCUGGAGAGGAACAACAGAUAUGAAGGUGGACACUGAGAGUUCUAAGCUUGAAAAAUGAAGAUCCUGGAGCUCAAGGUUUAGGAAUACAAGUGUGAACCACACUGGAACCUGCCAGCUUCAGUGGUUAAUUCACGUGUCCAUCUCCAGGGUCACCACAUUUUGUCACAUGGCACCAUAUAACAUCUCCCUUGAGGCCUUGCCAGUCCACUGACAUUUUAAUAAAUGUUCAAAACUUCACUUGCCCUUCA
rnacentral:lncRNA from 1 species